GCCUGAGAAUGCAGACCCGACCUCCGCCUUCUGACGGCGUGAGCUUUGGCUUUCCUGCACAGCACUGGGUGAGCCGACCCCGAGAGGUGGGUGCACAGCACUGGGUGAGCCGACCCCGAGAGGUGGGUGCACGGCACUGGGUGAGCCGACCCCGAGAGGUGGGUGCACGGCACUGGGUGAGCCGACCCCGAGAGGUGGGUGCACGGCACUGGGUGAGCCGACCCCGAGAGGUGGGUGCACGGCACUGGGUGAGCCGACCCCGGGAGGUGGGUGCACGGCACUGGGUGAGCCGACCCCGGGAGGUGGGUGCACGGCACUGGGUGAGCCGACCCCGGGAGGUGGGUGCACGGCACUGGGUGAGCCGACCCCGGGAGGUGGGUGCACGGCACUGGGUGAGCCGACCCCGGGAGGUGGGUGCACGGCACUGGGUGAGCCGACCCCGGGAGGUGGGUGCACGGCACUGGGUGAGCCGACCCCGGGAGGUGGGUGCACGGCACUGGGUGAGCCGACCCCGGGAGGUGGGUGCACGGCACUGGGUGAGCCGACCCCGGGAGGUGGGUGCACGGCACUGGGUGAGCCGACC